GAACAGUGCAAGUUUAUUCUGUAGUGGUCUUUUGAGGAAAGAACCACAGCAGUUUGAGCGGACCUGUUC
rnacentral:pre_miRNA from 1 species